rnacentral:rRNA from 1 species
AAUAGAUACCCCGGUAGUCCACGCCGUAAACGAUGAGUGCUAAGUGUUAGAGGGUUUCCGCCCUUUAGUGCUGCAGCUAACGCAUUAAGCACUCCGCCUGGGGAGUACGGUCGCAAGACUGAAACUCAAAGGAAUUGACGGGGGCCCGCACAAGCGGUGGAGCAUGUGGUUUAAUUCGAAGCAACGCGAAGAACCUUACCAGGUCUUGACAUCCUCUGACAACUCUAGAGAUAGAGUGUUCCCCUUCGGGGGACAGAGUGACAGGUGGUGCAUGGUUGUCGUCAGCUCGUGUCGUGAGAUGUUGGGUUAAGUCCCGCAACGAGCGCAACCCUUGAUCUUAGUUGCCAGCAUUUAGUUGGGCACUCUAAGGUGACUGCCGGUGACAAACCGGAGGAAGGUGGGGAUGACGUCAAAUCAUCAUGCCCCUUAUGACCUGGGCUACACACGUGCUACAAUGGAUGGUACAAAGGGCUGCAAGACCGCGAGGUCAAGCCAAUCCCAUAAAACCAUUCUCAGUUCGGA